GCCUCGGACCUCCCUGGAGGCCGCGGGCGUGCGAGGGCUCAGCCCCCGGCCUUAGGUGGGGUGCUCGGCGUUCGCCGUGGCUGGCGCGCCGCGUUCCCUGGGCGUGGGCCUGUUGUCACCAACCGGGAGCAGCUCCCUUGGCGCGCUGCCUGGUCCUGGCUGCAGGCUCCGAGGCCCGCCCGAGCCCUAGGGCGUAGGAACAGAGCCUCGCCUUUAAAAUUUGUGAUGUUGAUUCUCCUGAGCUACGACUCUAAGACGGUGGUUGGGUCCCGGUGAGGAAACAUCCAUGUCUGUGUGGAGAGCCACCCAUAGUUCGAAGACUCAGACUGGGUGCCUCCGAGAUGCUGCCUGCUAUGUUAUGAGGACCCUCAAACAGCUCUGUGGAGUGAUCCAUAUGGAUCAAAGGAUUCUUCUGCAUAAUCAGCACCCACUUGGGUGAGCCAACAUGAAAGUGGGACUUCCACCACCACUCAAGACUUCAGAUGACUGUAGCCCUCACCAACACCUUGAUGACAAAAUCCUCAGAGACCUUGAGCCCAAACCACUGAGCUCAGUUUCUCCCAAAUUCCUAAUCAACAGAAACUAUGUGAGGUAAUAAAUGUUUAUUGUUUUUUUUUAA